UAGAGUUUGAUCCUGGCUCAGGAUGAACGCUAGCGACAGGCCUAACACAUGCAAGUCGAGCGGCAGCACCUCGGGUGGCGAGCGGCGCACGGGUGAGUAACGCGUAUGUAACCUGCCCAUGAGUGGGGGAUAGCCCGGUGAAAACCGGAUUAAUGCCCCAUGAUACCAUUGUCUGACAUCAUUUAAUGGUUAAAGAUUCAUUGCUCAUGGAUGGACAUGCGUUGGAUUAGCUGGUUGGCGGGGCAACGGCCCACCAAGGCGACGAUCCAUAGGGGUUCUGAGAGGAAGGUCCCCCACAUUGGUACUGAGACACGGACCAAACUCCUACGGGAGGUAGCAGUGAGGAAUAUCGGUCAUGGGCGGAAGCCUGAACCAGCCAAGUAGCGUGAAGGAUGAAGGUAUUAUGUAGUGUAAACGUCUUU
rnacentral:rRNA from 1 species